GGCUGAUUUCUUCUUGAUUCAGUUUUGGCAGGCUGUAAGUCUCUAGAAAGUUUUACAUUUCUUCUAGGUUAUCAAAUUUGUUGGCAUACAAUUGUCUAUAAUAUUCUCUCAGAUUUUUUUGUAUUUCUGUAGUAUCCAUUAUGAAUUCUCCUCUUUCAUUUCUUAUUUUGUUUAUUUGCAUUUUUUUCUCUUCUCUACUUACUGACUCUAGCCAGAUGUUUCUCAAUUUUGUUUACAUUUUCAGAGAAACAGAUCUUGGUUUUAUUGAUUUCUUCUUUCAUUUUUAAAAUCUCUUAUUUUAUUGAUCUCCUCUCUGAUCUUUAUGAUUUCCUUCCUUCUCUUGACUUUAGGUUUUGUUUGUUCUUCUUUUUCUAAUUCAUUUAGAUGAUGGGUUAAGUUGUCAUUUUGAGAUUUUUCUCUUUGAAGAAGGCCUGUAUCACUAUGUAUCAAAUUCAUAGUGAUACAGGCCUUCUUCAUUUCCCUCUGAGCACUGCGUUUGAGGCAUUCCACAGGUUAUGAGUGGUUGUGUCUUCAUUAUCAUUUCUCUCAAGGUAUUUUUUUAAUUUCCUUUUUUAUUUCCUCUUUAACACACUGGACUUUUAGUAGCAUGUUGUUUAGUCUCCAUGUAGUAAGUUUUUUCUCAUUUCUUUUCCUGUGGUUGAUUUCUAGUUUCAUGCCAUUGUGGUCAGAGAAGAUACUUGAAUUAAUUUCUAUACACUUAAAUUUGUUGAAGUUAGCUUUGUGUCCCAGUAUGUGAUCAAUUCUUGAGAAUGUUCCAUGUGCACUUGAGAAGAAUGUAUAUUCUGACUUUUUUGGAUGUAAUGUCCUGAAAAUGUCGAUUAAGUCUAACUUUUCUAUUGUGUCCUUUAGGAUCUCUGUUGCCUUAUUGAUUUUCUAUGUAGAGGAUCUCUCUGUUGAUGUGAGUGGGGUGUUGUAUUCCCAUCAAUUUCUCCUUUUAUGUCUGUUCGUUUUUGUUGGAGGUAUCUGGGUGCUCCUCUAUUAGAGGCAUAUAUAUUGGCAAUUGUAAUAUGCUCUUCUUGAAUGGAUCCUUUAACCAUUAAGUAGUGGCCUUCUUUGUUUUUGUUAAUGGCCUUCGUUUUAAAGUCUAUUUUGUCUGAUAUGAGUAUUGCAACUCCUGCUUUCCUGUCUUGUCCUUUGGCAUGAAAUAUCUUUUCCCAUCUCCUCACUCUCAACCUAUAUGUGUCCUUUGCCCUAAGGUGAGUUUCUUGUAGACAGCAGAUUGAGGGGGUUUGCUUUUUUAUCCAAUCUGCCACUCUGUGUCUUUUGUUUGGAGCCUUCAGUCCAUUGACAUUUAAGGUGAUUAUUGAUAGAUAAGUAUUUAUUGCCAUUUUAAACCUUGUUUUCCAGUUGAUUCAAUGUUUCUCUUUUCUUCUAUUCUUCUUUGGGUUGGAUGGUUUCUGUUUAUUUUAUGCUUGAGUCCUUGUCAGUUUUUGUGAGUGUAAUACUUGGUUUUCAUUUGUGGUUGCCCUAUUUUUAAGUAUGUUAACCCCCUUCUAUCUGCUUGCUUUUGCCUGAUAGUCAUAUAGGCUCAAACACGUCAUUAAAAUAAUAAUAAAAAAAAGAAUCUGUAUUUUCUUGUCUUCCUUCCCCACAUUAUAUGAUUUCGAUUUCUUUUCUUUGUUUUUUAACAUCUUCAUGUUUAGAUCUGUAUGCUGGCUUAUUUAAGAGAUUACUUUCCAGUUGUGGUUUCCUCCAUCCUAAUUUUUCUUUUUUUCUCUGUGUAAUUUAGAGAAGCCCUUUCAUUAUUUCUUUUAGAAUGGGUUUAGUAAUGCUGUACUUUUUUAGCUUUUGUUUGUGGGAGAAAUUCUUUAUUUCCCCUUCUAUUUUAAAUGAUAUUCUUGAUAGAUAGCGUAAUCCAGGCUGCAAAUGUCUUCCUUCAGAACUUUAAAUAUAUCUUGCCACUCCCUUCUGGCCUGUAGUGUUUCUAGGGAAAUCAGCUGAUAGCCUUGUGGGGGUUCCCUUAUAAUUAACACUUUGCUUUUCUCUUUCUGCCUUUAGAAUCCUCUCUUUAUCUUUAACUUUUGCCAUUUUUUAUCACAGUAUGUCUUGGUGUGGGCUGUUUGGGUUCAGCUUGUUUGGGGCCCUCUGUGCUUCCUGUAUCUCAACAUCAGUAUGCCUUAGAUUUGGAAAGUUUUCAGCCAUAAUUUCUUCAAAUAUAUUUUCAAUCCACUUUUUCUUUUCCUUCUGGAAUGCCUAUUAUGCAUAGAUUGGUCUGCUUUAUAUUAUCCCAUAGGUCUCUUAUAUUGCUUUCAUGUUUUUUCGUUUGGUUUUCUGUCCGCUGUCCUGAUUGGGUGAUUUCCUUUAUUCUAUCUUCCAUGUCACUAAUUUGUUCCUCUGCAUUAUUCAUUCUGGUCUUUAUUGCCUUAAGCUCAGUUUGUAUUUCUGCAAAUGAAUUUUCUAGUUUUUCCUGGCUCCACCUUAUAUUUCCUAGUUCCUUUCUAAAGGAAUCUGCAUAGUGUUCAUAUCCUCUCUUAAUUCCUUCAGUAUUUUCAAUACCUCCUCUUGAACUCAUUGUCUGUCAGACUGCAGAGGUCUGUUUCAUUGCUGCCUGCUUUAGGUGAAUUCUCCUGUUGGUUUAACUGGGAAAGAUUUCUGAGCUUCUUCAUCUUGCUUGUGUUUUUCUUUUUUUGUGAGUUUGGGGAAGCCAAACUGUAGCCUUGUAAGGCUACUUCUAUGCAAGAAUCCCCCUUUGUAUUUUCGUUGGGGUUACUAUUUAUUUUUGGUGUGGGAGUUUGAUUAUUUGCUGUCUCUUUCUUUGGUGUGAGCAGGCUGUUAUUCCCAGGAUGCUCAGUGUUUUUUCAGGGAGAAUGAGGCAAUGGGUAGGGCCAGCAGUCAGUGCCUGGUCAUUGGGCUCUUAAUAGCAGCAAGGACUGCAGGAGGUGGUUCAGGCCACUUGUAGUUGCAGGGCGCUGGGAAAUGGCAAUAAGCUCUAGGUAGAUCUUCAAGGUGACCAGAUCAUUUGGCAGCAGGGUGUCUGUGUUUUCCCAGGGGCAUGAGAGCAACAACAUUUAUGUUGGAUUACAAUGCCCUCCUCUGAGAUGAUUAGAACCACAGGUGGUGCCUGUUCAGGGAGCCCUGGUGGGAGCAGGCCAUGACCAUCUCUAGAGUCAGUGAUAACUGUGGUAGUUUGCCCCACCACCUAUAGACCAUGCAUGAUGCAACCUGUCUCACUUAGCCCACAUAGGAGGUGCUGUACAGGCUGUUCCUAGUUACAGGAUCCUGGGAAGUGACAGAGAUCAGGCAUGUGGGUACUGCCUGGAGCAUUUGGCAGUGGCUGCAUCAGGGAAGGUAUGUUCUCAGGGGUUCAAGAGACCAACAGGUAGUGUUUGGUCACAAUGCCCUCCUCUGUGGUGCCCUUUAGGUUAAUGGUGCUGCAAGUGAUUUUUGUUCAGGUAUGUCAAAUGGAAAUGGGCCAUGCCCAACUCUAGGAUCAGGGAUAACUGCCUGCAGACCACCCAAGAAGCACUCUGUCCCACUUAGCCCAUACAGGAGGUGCUGAACAAGUUGCUCCUAGUUUUGUAGGAUCUUGGGAAGGGACUGUGACCAAGUGUUUGGGUGCUGCCCAGAGCAUUUGGCAGCAGCAGCUGCAGGGUGGGUGUGUUUCCAUGGGUCUGAGAGCAACAGUGUAUGGUGCUUGGUUGCAAUGCCCUCUUUUUUUUUCUUUUUUGCCAACCCCUGAGGUGACUGGGUUCAAUGGUUCAGCCUACUACAGGCUCCCAGUGUUGGAAAGCCACACCUCCCUCUGGCCUCUGAGAUGACCACCGCAGUCUGUCCCUGCCACCUGUAGAUCGUGCAAGAGGCACCACAUCACACUUGGCCCCCUUAUGCCCUUAGCCCACACAAUAGGUGCCUGGUCACCAGAAGCCUGCACAACAACUGCCUAAUUCCCCCUAAAUGAGCAAAGGCUUCUUGCCAUCUGCAGCCUUUGCAGAGCAGCCCCAUCUUCUAAACCUGAUGGCAUGCACAUACUCUGGUGCAGGUAAUUUCCAAUGGUGGCCUGCCCCUUCUCUUCUCCCCUCCCCAACAAUUGUGCCUUGACUCUCCUUCAAGUCCAGAUCUUCUCCCAGGUUCCCUCUGCCAUGGAGUUCCCCUCCUUAGCCCAUGGCACACUGCUCCUUAGCCCCUCAUGCCAUCCCCAGUUCUCUCCCCUAGCCCCUCAUGCCAUCCCCAGUUCUCUCCCCUGGACUGACCUCCAGAGCCUGAGUUUCGGUGUCCAGCCCCCACCUGAGUGUCUCAGGCUGUGGUGUCCGGGCCAGUGGUUCAGAUGGUCUGUGUAGCUCUCACUCUUCUUUGCUGUUCUCAGUCCCGCUGCUGAGUUCCUCGGUGACUUUGAGGUCCCGAGGCUCUCACUCUGCUUUGCUGUUCUCAGUCCAGUUGCUAUGCUUUUCUUGGUGACUUUGAGGUCCUGCUGACUCAGCCAAUUUUUCAUCAGUUAGGUGGUUUCCCAGGAGGUGGGUUCCUUUUCUCCUUCACAGCUCCCUUUAGGGAAUGUUAGUCCCGUCCUGAUUCCUUUUUUCUCUCUCUCUCUUUUCAUUUGUUCUACCCAGUUAUGUAAAGAGUUUAUUGCCCUUUUUGGAGGUUUAAGUUCUUCUGCCAGCAUUCUAUUAAUGUUCUGCGUGAGUAGUUUUACAUGUAGAUGUGUUUUUUUGAUGUGUUUGUGGGAGAAGUUGUGUGCGACCUCUUACUCCUCCACCAUCUUUCUCUGCCCCCACAAUUACAAUUUUAAUAUGUUUUUCUCUUUUCAUUUUUUUAGAUAUAAUCGACAUACAGCACUGUAAAAAUUUAAGGUGUACAGCAUGCUGAUUUUCAUGAAAUGAUUAUCACGAGUUAAGUGAAUAUAUAUCAUCUCAUACAGAUAUAAAA
rnacentral:lncRNA from 1 species